rnacentral:rRNA from 1 species
CUACGGGUUGCAGCAGUGGGGAAUAUUGCACAAUGGGGGAAACCCUGAUGCAGCAACGCCGCGUGGAGGAUGACGCAUUUCGGUGUGUAAACUCCUUUUAUAUCCCAAGAUAAUGACGGUAGGAUAUGAAUAAGCACCGGCUAACUCCGUGCCAGCAGCCGCGGUAAUACGGAGGGUGCAAGCGUUACUCGGAAUCACUGGGCGUACAGGGCGCGUAGGCGGGUUGUCAAGUCUUGAGUGAAAGCCAACGGCUCAACCGUUGAACUGCUUGAGAAACUGGCAGCCUAGAGUGAGGGAGAGGUAGAUGGAAUUGGUGGUGUAGGGGUAAAAUCCGUAGAGAUCACCAGGAAUACCCAUUGCGAAGGCGAUCUGCUGGAACUCUACUGACGCUGAGGCGCGAAAGCGUGGGGAGCGAACAGGAUUAGAUACCCGAGUAGUC